rnacentral:lncRNA from 1 species
CAAUCUCAUAGCGGACUCCCCGGUGUUGCCCUUAUGAUCUCCCCACUCCCUCUUCAGUGUUCUGUGAGCCUUAGGUGUGGGACUUGUUUUGUAAAUGUAUCUACCGGGACUGACUGCACUCCACACCCUGACACUCUUUCCUCUACUUUUACUCAGAAUAUUUAUUUUGAAAUUCUCAUUUUAUUUCACAGGAUGGAUAUCCCAUUGAGUACUUAUUCACCUACUGAUAUAUGUUUGAGUUGUGUCCAGUUUCUUGCGCAUCAUAAUAAAGCCGUGUGUAAACCCAUGGUUAUGCUGGGUGUCCCCCAAAUGCAGACCGUACACCAAAGGAGCCCUAGAUAUUCUGUUCAUGCUGAUGUCUUACCUGAGGAUCUGGAAACCUGCUUUCCUGAAGCUUCUCUCGCCAUUCCCAGAUGUUAUCCUUGUUCAGCCACACAAUGAGAUGUCACAGAUAUAACAGCAGGAGGGCAGAGACCAAGGUCAUUGUUCCAGAUACUACCCCAAAGGAAGGAGCCUACGGUUUCCAGUCCUCAUUCACCAUCUUGUUAGUCUUGCUUUCUCUGGUGCCUGUCUUGCUGUUCAGACCCCACAGGAUUACUCUUGAGGCUGUGAUGAAGCAAGAGAACUGGGGUGGCUGCUUCCUUUUUCUAGUCUAUCUAGAAGAUGAUGGAGGGAAGUUCUCAGGACCCAGGAGGGUGCUAGAGGCCUUUGAGAAGAACUGAUGGCCAGAAUAAAAGGUUUUGACUUGAUUUAUAAAAAACCA